CUGUUUUGUAUUGUAGCAGUUCUUUCUCUGAAGAACGAAGAUAUAUAUGCAGUGCAAGAGUCAGAUUCUAAGCUGUGUCCACAGCAACACCAACUAUGUCAGACAAUGGCUGGUGCCCUUCGAGGGCAGAGAAGCAAGUGACACAACAAUGGAGAGGGGGCAGCCGCACACUGGCGACCCUGACAAUCAAUCAAUCAAUCAAUCUUUAAGAUGUGUUACCCAUUUUAGCUGCAGCUGUAAAUCAGCAUCUGAAUGCCAAGUAGUGAAAUUAAGGCCUCUGGGACCAACAUUCAAGUUUGUGUAUCUCAUUAAAAGCACAACAUUCAGCUCAAAGGGCAGUGAGGUGACUAACAGAGGGCCCUCACUGCUCCAUGUGGACGAGACUUUUAAGCAAAACAAGCCCCUUCUCAGGAGCCCAUGGAAAAGUCUGAGCUGCAAAAGCUCUCCGAGAGAGUGUGGACAUAUAUUGACAUUGAAGUUUGCAUGCCUAUUAGCUGAGUGAUACACCGAUCUGGGAAUCAUACCCAUUAUCUGUGCAGCCUCCAAGUGACGCUCUGGACACAUCGGGGCUGUGAAAGUAAACACUGCUGGGGACGUGAGGACAACGGAAAGACCAUGCGGCUGCAGGAAAGAAAAGCACAGCUUGCAUUAACCAGGCAACCUAUAUUGUUCAAAGUUCAGUGCUGAAAGUAACAGCAAUAUAAUUUUCAGGCAAAUUAAGUGCAUUAAGUAGUUACCACUAAA